UCAGACGAUGCGUCAUGCAUAUCAAUAAGCGGAGGAAAAGAAACUAACAAGGAUUCCCCUAGUAACGGCGAGUGAAGCGGGAAGAGCUCAAAUUUGAAAUCUUAAAGGGUUUCCCUUUACGAAUUGUAGUUUAAAGAAGUGUUUUCUGUUGAGGUUUUGGUAAAAGUUCUUUGGAAUAGGACAUCAUAGAGGGUGAGAAUCCCGUAUUUGACCUUUACUUUCAACUUUGUGAUACACUUUCAAAGAGUCGGAUUGUUUGGGAAUGCAGUCCAAAAUGGGUGGUAAAUUUCAUCUAAAGCUAAAUAUUGGCGAGAGACCGAUAGCGAACAAGUACCGUGAGGGAAAGAUGAAAAGAACUUUGAAAAGAGAGUUAAACAGUACGUGAAAUUGUCAAAAGGGAAGCGUUUGACACCAGUGUUGUUUUUCUGAAAAUCAAUUAAAGAACUGUUUAUGCUAAGCUGUUUAGACUUUAUCAGCUAUACUGUUUAGUUUUGAGCUUUUCUUUAAUGCACUUUUCAGUUAACAAGUCAACAUCAAUUUCUUUUGCUGUAAAAAAGCUUGAGGAAGGUGGCUUGAGAUUCGUCUUAAGUGUUUAUAGCCUCUUGCCUAUGCAGUCGGAGAGAUUGAGGUCUGCAGCGUAGGAUCCUUCGGGGCUAAAUGCAUUUGUGCUAAGUUAUAGCAUUUUAUAGACAACUUGUUGACUAUGAUUUGUCUUGUAGCUUACUCGCUUAUGUUAUUUUACCUACGCUUAGGAUGUUGACACACGCGCGUGCUCG
rnacentral:rRNA from 1 species